rnacentral:rRNA from 1 species
GAUGAACGCUGGCGGCGUGCCUAAUACAUGCAAGUCGAGCGAACAGACUAGGAGCUUGCUCCUCUGACGUUAGCGGCGGACGGGUGAGUAACACGUGGAUAACCUACCUAUAAGACUGGGAUAACUUCGGGAAACCGGAGCUAAUACCGGAUAAUAUAUUGAACCGCAUGGUUCAAUAGUGAAAGACGGUUUUGCUGUCACUUAUAGAUGGAUCCGCGCCGCAUUAGCUAGUUGGUAAGGUAACGGCUUACCAAGGCAACGAUGCGUAGCCGACCUGAGAGGGUGAUCGGCCACACUGGAACUUAGACACGGUCCAGACUCCUACGGGAGGCAGCAGUAGGGAAUCUUCCGCAAUGGGCGAAAGCUUGACGGAGCAACGCCGCGUGAGUGAUGAAGGUCUUCGGAUCGUAAAACUCUGUUAUUAGGGAAGAACAAAUGUGUAAGUAACUAUGCACGUCUUGACGGUACCUAAUCAGAAAGCCACGGCUAACUACGUG